AUGGAGGGUCAAGUGCAGAAGUUUGUGACCCUUCGCUUCGGUGACCUUUGGCUUAAUGUGCCAAUUGGUCCUAUCGUGACCUCAUUAAGUGAAAGUUGGAAGACUACUGCUGCAUCUCCAGUUAUACCAGAUCAAGAAGAAGUCACUUCUCCACUAAUGGAAGGGUUCACACCUGUUUUGUCAAAGUCUGCAAAGAGGAAAAUGAGGGCUGCUAGAAAGAGUGUUGCUCAGAGUUCUGCAAGAAGGGUUGCUCAUGCUCCAGUGUCAGUGAUAAAAAGAAAGGUAGUUGAAGCAGAACCAUCCGACCACCAGCAAUCCAAGGACAAGGGAAAGAAAGUGGUGUUUGAGACAUCCGAGUUUCCGCCACUUGUUUACAUGGGAAAAGAGAAGAUGGUAGAGACACUCAACUCCAAUCUACCUGAGAAAAGAGGCGGCAUUACGGUCAUAUUGCCGUCAGCGUCAUCUUCAACAGGAAGGCCCACCAAUGCUCGGAAUAUACUUCGAGCCGAUGCUCCUGAGUUUGUCCCCUCACUGCCCCAUAAACCUACACCAUCAGUUGCUCUGUUUGAAGAAGCACCCAUCCUACGAGAGUCCUUUGAAGGUUUGUUUGAUCUAGUGCGACAUCAACGGCGACAGAGAAAUGUCCGUCGAUCUUGGAUUGAUCUUCCAUCUGCCGUAUAUCAAGAGGCGACAAGCCGACACCAUUCUCAUGUGAGCAAGUCCGUCAAGGGGAGAUGAAAAAACACUCGUCCAAAGAUCCAAGUUCGGAAUCCAGAUGACUCGUCAUAGCUUCUCGGUGCAUCCACAUCACAAAAUGAUGAGGGUGGUGCCAUCAUGCGACUGGCGGAGGCCCUGGCCCAACGGCCUAAGUACCAAGAAUUCAUUCAGCAACAUCCUGGACAUCAAGAAAGGACGGCGUACAAAGAAAGAGAAAGGGUAGUACGGGCAAGGUCUGGGUCAAGCAGAGUCCAAGGGGCAGAACACGCUCCAUCAGAUGAGGACAGUCGGGCUAAAGUGAACAAGUGGCUAUCAAAUCCAUCAAAUGAGGUGGCCACGAGCUUGUCUCCAUGGACCUCUCGUAAGCAAACCAAGAAUAAAUCAUUCGAGGUGUUCCAAGCAAUGCCAGUUGGUGUCAGGGCGGCGUCAGACAAGACCAGCGAAACAUCCUCCACAUCAACACAUUUCAAGAGGAAGAAGGCACGCAAAACUGUCAUAAAAGGUCCUCGUUGUAGUACAUGA
rnacentral:rRNA from 1 species